GGUGAUGGGGAGCGCGGGACCUGAACCGGGGAGGCAAGCGCAUUAACAGGUGUGACGCAGGAAGGUAGCCGGGCCGGGCAAUGGAAAUGACCUGGUCUAAGGGUGUAGGGCUGCCGGUAGGUAAAUCCGCCGGCUGUAUGCCUGAGACCUGAUGGGCGCCCACAUGGUGGGUGAUCCGGUGAUCCUAUGCUGCCUAGAAAAGCAUCGGCGCGAGGUUCAAACUGCCCGUACCCUAAACCGACACAGGUGGUCAGGUAGAGAAUACUAAGGCGAUCGAGAGAAUCAUGGUUAAGGAACUCGGCAAAAUGCCCCCGUAACUU
rnacentral:rRNA from 1 species